UAUCGAGUAUAGCUUAGCAAACUAUACACUUGCCGCCAUGGCUGAACACUAUGUAGCCUGAGUACAGGAUGACCGACCAGUAAGAGUGUUCAUAAGUCCCCCAG
rnacentral:sRNA from 12 species